CCUCGUCGUCCUCCCGAUCCCAGCGCUCCCGGAGCUCAGUCUCCGACGAGCGCGAGGGGAGGAAGCCGCCGCCGAUGAGAAGGCUGGGAUGGAGAUGGUGGCAUAGGAGGAGAAGAUGCAGGGAGGCGCAAACGAGCAGGGGAGGGUCACAAGUGCGGGAAGAGGAAGCUAGGGCUUUCACCGCGGCGGAUUUCUUCCGUGGUGACCUCACGUGACCUCUCCCCAUGACUGAGCACCAUCCCCAGAUUUGUCUCCACCACUGUGAGGCUACGUGUGUGCACAUGUGGUGUUUGUGCAAAUGUCCAUGGAUGUUUAUAAAAAUUUGGUGACUAUAAAUGAAAUGAAUAGAGAUUGAGUAGUCAUAGCCUGGAUGCCACCACCGUCAAGAUCAAGAUCAGGUGUUUGGGGCUGAACCUCGGCGUUGUUCAUCUGCUGAAAUUGAAGAGAUGGAAUUUAUACUGUUGGUGCACAAACAACCGUGAUGGUUAUGGUCUCUGCUCUCUAGUUUUCCAGUUGAGCUAUAUAUCCCAAAGUUUUGUUCUCAUAUUAGUUUCCAAGUAGUUGUAUUUCUAUUUGUCAGAACUAAAGAUGUAAUCUCAAGUUCAGGCAAAUGGCAUAUCAGAGACGAUGAUCUGGAAGGAAGGUGUGGAUGGAAAAUAUGUCAGAAACAAUCAAGGCAUGGGAUAGGAUUAAAGAGCAAGUGAAGAAAUAUAUAAGCCUACCCAUUCUGAACUGAACUUGGCACAUGACAUUUUUUUUAUCAGAGAAAAGAUUCUCCUUUAUCGAAGGAUACUCAAAUGAAGCCUAUCCAGUUGCUUGUAUUUAUUUUAGCAUAAUGGAUGUUAUUCAAGUCGGUGAUCAUUGAUGUGGAAUAUCUUCAUGCUAUUUUUGAUGGUUCUCAUGUCGAGUGUUGUAUGAUCAGUUCUUCAUGCUACUUUUUGAUGGUUCUCAUGUCAUUGAUGUGGAAUAUCUUCAUGUGGAAUACCGUUUUAGGCAGCAUUCGGCUCCCUUUCAAAAAUUAGAGUUAGCAACUCUUGUGGAGUCAGAGGAAAUGACAAGCUGUUUGUGCAAAAUAGGAAUUAAUCGAAGAGCUGGAGUCUAGAGGGAAAAAAAAUUCAGAUUUUGCGACAGCAUUUCGGAGAAGCUGGUGCCUGUUAUCUUAGAUAGUCCCAACAAGGUUUCUCUAAAAGGAUAUUCACCAGAAGAGUGGACCAUAGGUGAGAGUGCUGAACCAUAGAUGGAGAUAGUGCUGAAUUAAAAGGUAUCAACAGACUUGUGCUGCCUACCAAUGGAAGAUUGUGUGUGCCUGAAACUUGCUCCCUGCAAUUUGUGGGGCAGAAUAAAUUUUUGGCUGUGCAUGCAUCCAAAGGUCUGUCCUAAGUUUUCUGUUGUACUCGCCACCACACCCGUUGUCAGCGCCCAGCAAGGGCUUAUUGUAGGUGGAUAGUCAGGGUUUGGGUGACUCGACGCUGCAGUACGACAUCAUCACGAGGGAUGUUCACUCCUGGGAUGGAGGAAGCACGGCAGAGCAUCCAGCCAGCAUUGGGGAUGGAAGUGCGGAUAAGGUCGGCGGCGGCCUGAAGAGGCAGGGGAAGAUGACGAACAGGGCAGGGGUUUGGGUUCCACCGCCACCGUCCUGCGGCAAUUGGGGGCCUCUUCGUGCAGAGCCGGCGGCCGGCUAGGCUCCACCUCCUCCAUCCCUACCUUGGCGCUGCACAUGGGAGAAGAAGGGGGCGACAGGAAGAUGGCAUGAGGACGAGGGGUUGCCGGGAUGGAUUCUGCACCACCGUGUCGUCUUGUCUACUGCAACCAGCCCCAUCCCUCCGCCUCCUGUGGCUCUUUUCUCAUCGAUCUCGCGACACUGCUACACUCCCUCUUCAUCAACAUCCACGUCACGGUCAUCUUCACGUCGAGCUGGCAGCGCAUAUGCAUGAUCCCAGCUAGAAAGCUUGGUGUCACCCAAUGUACUAGCGAUAAGGCGCUGGUCGCUUUUAUCAUUGUCUACAAUGUAGGGAAGGAAUAAUAGUUACAUGGUGUAUGGUACAGUUCUGGGAGUUAGCCGAUGGCAAUAUAUUUGCACUUUUAUUUUGGUGCUUAACAGUUGAAGUCAGUUGCAGGUGUUAACAGUAUUCAUGUGCACCAAGGAGCUCUAGGAGUUGGGGAGGAAGGAGGAGUCCACGGACAUCAAUUGGCAGCGCCAGGAAGCUCAGCAAGAGGCGUGCAAGAGGGUCACCAUCGUUGUAGCAUACCAUAGCUCAGACCAGAACCACAAGAGAUGGAGUUUGACACCCUGAAGCAAACAAGCACCGGUGUUGAUUGGAGUAAAAAUACAGACAUCAACUAAGAUAAUCGCAGGUUCGGUCCAUCAUUUUAGGUUCGGUUCCAAGGCCACGUGGUUUUGUCUGGAUGGAUCCCCUCUUUGAUUGUAUUCCUGGAGCCAUAAAUACUGAGGUCAAUUGUGAGGAUAUUAUGAAUGGCAUACUUAGGUCUGCAUAUUUGUGGUCAUUGCCUUCCAAGCAGGCCGUCCAACACUUUCAGCCAGAGCAAAUAUGAUUGUGGCAACGGUGGAACAACCAUCACUGGAGAUUGUGGGUACCAGCCUGAUGAGUGUAAUCGUGGUGGCCGCCGAGGUCCCAUCACACGGGAGCGGGUGCAAUCAUCCAGAGCUAUGUACCAUGUGUGUUCCUACCGCUGCAUGAUGAGAAGGGUCUCUAGCUAUGGCCCCUCGGCAAUCUCCCUACCCCCUUCAUCAGAGAAGAUCUGGUUUUGAUCAUCGAUUGCCCAAGUGCCGAGUCAAUUCUUCUUAUGUUUAUCACUAUCAACUAAAGGCUAAAACGAUGGUUUUUAGCCUGACCUUGCAUGCCCGAGUGGUACUUUAGUUUGCCUACAUAGACCAUGCUGCAACAAUGGCCAAGGCAACUUUGGUGUAUGCGAUGUUCCUUCUACACUUCUAUUGCUCCUGAGAACCUUGAGCGUUAGUUAUAACAAUAUAUUAUCCUAUUUUCCUGAUUGUAUAUGAGAGUUUGCUACUCCGUUCAUAAUGUAUGUGAUUUAUCUAAAUUUUAUCUUAUCGA